rnacentral:lncRNA from 1 species
CGCAGGAACGCGUAGCCUUUCCGAUUUCCUUCCCGAUUUUUAAUUGAGUUCGUGUUGCUCAAUAUUCAAUUUUCUGUGUAGUGGUUUGUAAUGUUCGAAAUUUUUCUUUUAACUAUGAUCUCUUUUUAAUCCAGACAGGCGAAAGAUAUCGAAUGGACAUUCAAACUCGUAUGUAAAAAAUAAAUAAACUGACAACGCCAUGGCUAGAAAAUAACAAGACCAGCAGACAAACAAUAUUACACAAACACAACAUAGAAAACUUAAAACUGAGCAACACAAACUCCGUCAAAACUGUGGGUUAUCUCAGGUGCGCCG